GCGUUUGUGGUACAGUGGUUAGCAUAGCUGCCUUCCAAGCAGUUAACCCUGGUUCGAAUCCAGACCAACAAA
rfam:Nematostella vectensis strain CH2 x CH6 NEMVEscaffold_125_Cont14352, whole genome shotgun sequence.